GGAAAUCGCAUACAUAAAAGGCUUGGUCUUGAAGCUAGAGGAAGAAUUGCAUACUGUAACAUCUUCAUCCUCCAAAUAAUUACACAUCCCGGCAGAUCAAAUUGGUGGUGCAAUACAAAGACAGUUCGCGGACGCCUUGAAAGUUCAUGUUCAACAGCAAGCGAAUGACGGUUGGAAGAGGAAGCAACUGGAUGUUUGGUCAACCAGCAAAGCAGCUGGUGGCGACAAAG